UGGUGUAGUGGUCAGCACGCUGGGCGCGUAUUCCAGAGGUCCGUGGUUCGAAUCCCGG
rnacentral:tRNA from 1 species